UACGUAGGGUGCAAGCGUUGUCCGGAAUUAUUGGGCGUAAAGAGCUCGUAGGCGGUCUGUCACGUCUGCCGUGAAAACCCGAGGCUUAACCUCGUGGCUUGCGGUGGAUACGGGCAGACUAGAGGUAGGUAGGGGAGAACGGAAUUCCCGGUGUAGCGGUGAAAUGCGCAGAUAUCGGGAGGAACACCGGUGGCGAAGGCGGUUCUCUGGGCCUCACCUGACGCUGAGGAGCGAAAGCAUGGGGAGCGAACAGG
rnacentral:rRNA from 1 species